rnacentral:rRNA from 1 species
UACGUAGGGUGCAAGCGUUAAUCGGAAUUACUGGGCGUAAAGCGCACGUAGGCGGCUUUGUAAGUUAGAGGUGAAAGCCCAGGGCUUAACCCUGGAAUUGCCUUUAAGACUGCAUCGCUAGAAUUGUGGAGAGGUAAGUGGAAUUCCGAGUGUAGAGGUGAAAUUCGUAGAUAUUCGGAAGAACACCAGUGGCGAAGGCGACUUACUGGACACAUAUUGACGCUGAGGUGCGAAAGCGUGGGAGCAAACAGG